AGGAUGUCUCAAUGACGUCUGUGUUGGACACAUGGCAUUGCACGUUGGAAGAUGAGGGGUGAACGGUGCAACAGCUGCUCUUCAGAUGUCCCUUAUGGAUACAGACAAAGGAGAGAGGGGCCAAGUCCGUGUCCUCUGGAUCUUGUAGGAAUCGCUUGUCAGAUGAGCAAUAGGGCUGCGGAACAGACACUCGAGGUGCGAGCUGUGAAGAAGCCACAAAGCCAAGCGGCACGACUGCUUGUACCCAUUAGCCACCAGGAGAAAGACGAGUUCCUCAUCCUACUGAAGUUGGUAGGAGUUUUCUCAUCGACUUCGGUGUGUUUUACUCUGACUGUCUGGUUCUUUGGCUCCAAAACACACAUUUUUAUCUCCUGAGCAAAAUGAGAGUUCCUGCAGCUGUUGCUAGUAAUAAGUCUCUUCAAAUCAGUCACUGGGGAGGAACUUCACUCAUCUGUACACACAAAGCUGGUGUAAUGCAGGAAUGUCGAAAAGCGACUGUAGCCAGCACCUGCAGGCAGGCGCAAAAAGUCACUUUUCAUCGACUUCAGAGUGGUAGUUCUGUUUUGACUUCCAAAGAGUUUUUCUUGCAUGAGAACGGUGGGGUUUAGCCUGGAAAAUGCUGGAGCCAGCUGAAGGAAAGUGCAAUUAUAGCUGCUGAUUAGAGAUGAGUGUCUGCUGGGAUCCCCCUUCCUUCCCUUUCCAGCCCAGAGGACCAGAGGAGUUGCUUGGACUGGAAAGCAACCAGCAUGUGGAGUGUGACAUGGGCUUGAACUUCAAGUGUCUUUUAAAGGUGGUCAGUUGUAAUACUUCAUAGAGAGGUGCCACAAGAUCUGUUUGUGGGGCUUUUUUCCUUGUUUGGUUGGUUGUUUGUUUUAUUUUAAGGAAAAAAAGGUGAACUUUACUUUUCUUGGAACAAUUGAGUGUGGUAGCUUUUUAAAGGAAAUUAAAACCAGGACUUUUUUCUGCAUUUUUGAAUAAUAAGUAAACUAGUGUUGCUGGCAGCGAGAGGGCUACUGCUGAGUCAAAAGAUGGCAAAGGUUCCUGUGCUUGCCAGCAAACCUCCUCCAGGCUGAGUCUGCCUUGGCAAAAAGAGUUCCAUAUGGUCCUGUAUGUAUGUGUGUAUAUGUAUUUUCUCGUGUGCGUAUACCUAUAUGAAGACAGGAGUUUUUAAAAACUAAACUAAAAUCAGGGAAAUAAACUACCUAUCAGAUCCCAAAGGGCUCUGCUCAUUUUAAAAUAUUCUUAUUUUAAAAUACCUACAUAGUUUAAAAAGCUAUUUUCCAUGAGGCCAAGAUUCAGAAGCAUUGUCCCAAUAAACUGUGAAUUCAUCAGGAAUGUGGAGGAUAUGGAGGGCGAGGCUGAGUUAUCAGAAAUAUCAGCAAUAGGCUUCACGAGCAUCACAGCAAAUAUCUGAAGAGUGAACUGAAUUUUAUGCUGAGUUCCUGUUCUGGUGAAGGGUUGGACCAGUACAUCUUCACUGGUGCUAUGAUAGAAAUCUGCCCCUCUGCCCAUACUUUGAAUGUGGGACAGAAAGAGCUCUAUGAGCGCUUCUUGUCAAUAGGGAUAAAUUCUGGUCUGAGAAUAGAGAUUUUUUCCUAGCACAUGCUGUAGAAGGGAUGGAGAGAUAAGUCUACUAGCUUUGUGCACUUUGGCCCUCUUACACAUACUUGAUAAUAGUUUGAGGAUAGUAUUAGGAUCAUCUGUUAGUCAGACUUCGAGUUAAUUAACCAGCCAACCCGCUCACACUGGAAGGGGCUCACGUAUGAUUAUGAGUCACCCACUUGGGUAACUGAUAUUUGUCUAUUUUUAGGUAGACUAUGAGGCACCCAGACACUACAGCAAUGGGUUCCAGAUCAGUACUUUAAAUAUAAGAAAUAUACUGGUGAUUUGGACCUUGUGGAUGAGAGGAGUGUCUACUUGCUCACAAACUCUCCCUUUGUAGAUGAUGAGGUCAGGCUCAUCACAUGAAGAUAAAUUCCUUAUCCUAAGUAUAGUUAAGGCUCAUUCCUGAAAUAUACAGAAAGCAUUAUUUUGGGAUGGAUCUGUAUGUGCUCUUGCAGCCCUUAAUUGGCCCUAAGUGAAAAAGUUGAUCUUAUCCAUGUAAGAGUAUAAAUAUGUAUGGUGCUACAUUAGCAACUUCUAAAUCUGUUUUGUGCCUUUGUCCUUUAUUCUCGAAGCCUGGUGCUGCUGGGUCCAUGGGAGCAAGCCGAGGCACAGAAGGAACGGUGGGAUUUGGGAACAGCGGUGGGGGUCUUUGGGACUGUUGAAAUAAGUUGCCUUUCUUUGCAGGUGAUCACACUGUAUAAUCCCUUUAGUUAAUGCAUCAAACUCAGUUUCAUACUGACUUAAGCUCCUGCCCUUUGCCAUCCCAGAGCCACAUUUUCCCUGCCACCUUAAACACAUUCGUGGGCAGCUCAGACCCAUUUGUUUUUGUGCCAGUGUUGACUUUGCGUCAGUAGCUUUUGCUAUAAGGCAUGUCCCAGUUUGUUCCAUCAGGAGCAGAAGGAAAAUAUUUCUUGUCCAUAUAAGGGGAAUUUGGAAACGGGAGGAGGGCUUUGUCUAACUGGGAGUCUUCCAGGGGUCAGGGCCCCCUCCUCAAGUGGAGUAAGUACUUUUCUUAGUUCCCCCUUCCUUUCCUCAAUUUUUGACUCCUCCAUGCUUUUUUCUUUCAUACAUUUCUCCCACCAUCUUCCUGUUUUGUCUCCUGUGGCACCUGGUACAUGCAUUCCCUGUCACUUCUGUCUCCAUUUUGCUCCCUUUCAUCUCCACUCUCACUUUGAUGCUCAGGCCUCCUGGAGACUGGCUCCUUCACCCAUGGCGGUUUGGGUUCCCUUUCCAGCUCAGGUCAGGCUCCUUUGCCUCCCAGCCAGGCACUGCUCUAUCAAGGGCCAGGCACAGCUUUUACAGUGGUGACUGAGAACUUCUAUUGCUGGUAGCUCAGGUCAGUGUUCAACCCUUCAACAAGGGUGAGAUAUCACCCAUUGUGGCUCUUCAACUCCGUCUGUGUGAAACCAUGGUGCUUGGGGUCCUUGGCUCAUCCCUUCUCACUUGUUUCUCUCUUCAGGGUCUCCCAUGGUGCUGUCAUGGUGCAUCUCCCAUGGGUGGCCUUGCAGAGGGACCAGUGUCCAUGUGGCUUUCUAGCUCAACCAUGAACCUUUGCUGUGAGUGGGCAAUGAGGAGCCCCUGAGGUAAGGCAGCCACCUGGAGAGAAAGGCAUUUCCAUUGCUUGCUGUUUGCUUUUGGUUUUGCGGAAAACAUGGGGUAGCGGGACAUAAUUGUCACUGAUUCCCCUGUGGAAGUGACUUUGGACCAUGGUGUUGAUGGGAAGAGAGACAGCUUCAGUGAAAUGCAGUCCUGGUAGCAUUGCUGGGUGCCUUGAGCCUCACACAUUUAUCUGUGAAUGUGAGAUUUGGAGCGUUACUCAAACUGUGUAAGUAAUAGUUUAUUCAUUCUUACUCUAUGGCCUAAUAUACUGAAAAAAAAUAAGCUGAGAAUAAGGGAUCUUUCUGGAAAAGUGUCAUUUUAAAAAUAAUUACAUUAGGCAAGGAGCUGACAAUUUAGAAUUCCCCUUUUUUGGAUUUAUGUCUUAGUAUUAUAAUUUUAACAUUGUUUUUGUUUAGUGUACUUUGUGUAAGCAGUCACUUAAUUUGCAGUGACUUUAUUUCAUUAUUACAAAGCUGAUUUCCUUGUUUUCUGGUAUUUGUUUUAGCAUUGAAACUACCUAAGCACAGUCCUCCCUUCCGUUUCUAGAUAGAAACCCCUGCAUUUUCAUUUUCCUGAAAUGGGAUCUUUCAAGAUUUUUCCUUGAAAUUGUUUUGCUGUAUACAUUUCAUGUUUGGUCGCUUCUGCAAUGAAAUGUAAUGAGCUUUCCUUAUCGUAGUUUCAAGUGCGAUAGUACUAUAGCACAAGUCCUAUGAUUUUGGUAAAGGCAGCAAAAUGGUUUUUACACGGAAUCUUUCUACAUUGUGAUUACGAUAGGAUUUGGAAAACAAUUUUCGGCGAUUAUGGUUAAAAUAAAGAGGGAUCCUUUGUGCGUGAGUUCAGACUCUGAGACAACUUCUCGCAGCAGUUUUACCCCAGUUGGUGCUUGGGGGAGUGACAUUGAGGAGGUUUAGCACUGGGUGAUCGGAAAGGGAUUUUCUGCAAGCCAUGGAGGCCUGGCAGAGGCAGCGUGGCGGGGAGGGUUUUUCUGUGUGCCUUCUGGCUCUUGGCUCAAGCCAAUGGCACAGUUCUCAUGCUAUUACAAACACUCAAUUAAAUCACCAGUGUAUUUAAUAAACAAUUUAAAAAUAUCCGACGUAGCAAAACAAACAUGGAGAUGACAGGAUCAGUUUUGUUUUUAGAGGUGGCGGAGAACAGAACGUCCUUUUCUUGGAAAUGCUACGUGUCCAGGAGGGAAGCUGCUCCUUUGCAGCGUGUGUCUCAGCUUCUCCAGACGUUGUUUACAAAAUCUCAGGCAAUACUGGACCAUGGAAACAUAUGUGCCAAUGUUUGAGGUAGCAUGGGGUUCUCUAGCUCUCCUGGGGAUAUUCGUUCUAUCACUUAAAUCAAAAUCACUCUUGCAAUUCUUGCAUAUGAGGGCUAAAAAGAUUUGGUAAGAACCUAGGAAAUAAGUAAUUUGGGCAGAGAAAAAGAAGCGCUUUUACUGACCCAGAAGCAGCUGUCUGGUUUGAAAAUAGUGGCAAAAAUCAUACCUGGGCUUUGUCUUGAAAGCCGUUAUUUCAGCUGAUGACCAAGGAGGUAGCUCUCAUGCAUUCCACCUAGACAACUGCAGCUAAGGGCUGGGUUUGGUUGGCUGAUGUGUGAGAAAGACAGACCAACCUCCCACUUUAUGUCACAAGUUGUAUUCCUGCUUGAGUAGUUUGAAAACAUAUUAAUGGCCCCUUUUUAAAUAAAGCAACAGAUGGAACUUCACUUCAACAUCCCAAAUAUCCCAAAUACAACACAGUAUUAAAUAGUUUCUCCGAAGCAACCUUCUGAAGUUAAGCUGAAGAUGAGUCUUCCUUUGUGUCAGUGUCCUAAUACACCUGAAGUUCUCAGAAUGUUGCCCGAUUUUUGUUCUUUUUGGGUUGAAAGAUGCAUUUCCGAGCAGAUUGGAGGUUUUAAUGCAGGUUGCCCUGUUGCUCACAUUUCACGCUCAUCUAUCAGGUCUUGAGGAGCCACCGUGCUCCUGUCAGUCCCCAUUUGUUGGUGUGCUGGUAGAAAGGCUGGUGCAAGGUGAGAAGCUUACAACUGAGAUCCUGAGGGUUCAUUUAGCAUGCAGACUGGAUGCAGCAGCUCUGCAAAGCUGCCUUAGCUUGCACAGGUGUUAUAUCCCUAAUGGGUGUUGCAGCAGCAGAGAAGUUACAGGAUGCCUCACAGUGGUUUUGCUCCUUAUUAUUUCUGUGUCUGGCUCUAUCAGGUCUCUUUGGGUACAGAUUUUCUCUGCUGGAGUCAUCCUCUCGGAAAGCUUUAUGUUCCUCCCACCCUGGCUUAGCAACUAAAUGUCUUGCAGUACAGGAGAGUCCUGAGGUUUUCACAUUUAUAGAGUAGGGCUGUUCCUCCUGAAUGGACUAGAUAAGCAGAUGGAUUAGAUAACCUCUCAAGGGACCUUCAAUCCCUUUCUUCUGUCAUCACACUCCUCAAAGAGAUCCUCCAAGUGCUGGGAAUGGGACUAAGGGCUGCCUGAGGGGUCAGAAGCAAAGGGACUUGAAAUGGGUAUUUCCACAGAAGGGUAAAAAAUGACCCUGAGGACUAAAAUAGACUGGUGUCCUUCUGUGAGUGUUUGCAGUUAAACUCCCAGUAACGUGUUGGCUCUGGGACUUGGGGAGAAUCUAGAGAGACCAGUACAUUUUAACUUCUAGAUAACACUCAGUUCUUGGGCUGUAUACCUUAAAAAAAUUACAUUUAAAAAAUCUAUUAAGAUUAGGUUCUACUUCAGUAAUGGUUUAUUUUUGUCAAGGACUACUAGUUUAAUUCUUGGGUCGGUGUGCUCUUUGGAUACCUGUGUUCCUUACUUUUAACAAUCCUUCAGCUCUAGUUUCUCUUGAAGCAACACCUGGGUUAUUAAAAAAAAUAAUGGUCCUAAACUGAUCCAGCUUGUGAAAAUUUACCAGGAGUGAGGGGAAAUAUCUGUUUAGCUCUGUUUCAGUUUUGUUGGCAUAAAUUUAAGAUGUAUAAAAUGUCGUGGAGUUUAAGAUGUCCAUCCUUCAGGUGACUUCAUGCUGGUGGGUCACUGCGUGAUGUGAAAAGCCUGUAGGGCUUGAUUUGCUCCUGUCGCUUCUCCCCACCAGACCCAGCAGCAUCCGCUGUUGUCAGCUCCCUCAGCUGGACCCUGGUAUGAACAGGACCCUCCUGCCA